rnacentral:rRNA from 1 species
GAUGAACGCUAGCGGCAGGCUUAAUACAUGCAAGUCGAGGGGCAGCAUGAGUAGCAAUACUUGAUGGCGACCGGCAAACGGGUGCGGAACACGUACGCAACCUUCCUUUAAGUGGAGAAUAGCUCCCGGAAACGGGAAUUAAUACUCCGUAACAUUAUGAUGUGGCAUCACAUUAUAAUUAUAGAUUUAUCGCUUAGAGAUGGGCGUGCGCCUGAUUAGGUAGUUGGCGGGGUAACGGCCCACCAAGCCUUCGAUCAGUAACUGGCGUGA